rnacentral:rRNA from 1 species
AUGGCUCAGAUGAAACGCUGGCGACGUGCUUAACACAUGCAAGUCGUGCGAGAAAGUAGACUUCGGUCUAUGAGUAGAGCGGCGCACGGGUGAGUGACGCGUGGAUGAUCUACCCUUGAGUUCGGGAUAACGGUGGGAAACCGCCGCUAAUACCGUAUAACAAUCCAUUUCAACGUGGGUUCAAAGCAGGCCUCUUCGUGAAAGCUUGCGCUUGGGGAUGAGUCCGCGUCCCAUUAGCUUGUAGGCGGGGUAAUGGCCCACCAAGGCUACGAUGGGUAGCUGGUCUGAGAGGAUGAUCAGCCACACUGGAACUGAAACACGGUCCAGACUCCUACGGGAGGCAGCAGUGGGGAAUAUUGCGCAAUGGGGGAAACCCUGACGCAGCGACGUCGUGUGAGGGAAGAAGGCCUUCGGGUCGUAAACCUCUGUCAGAAGGGAAGAACCGCCGGGAGUCGAAUAGCCUCUCGGCCUGACGGUACCUUCAGAGGAAGCGCCGGCUAACUCCGUGCCAGCAGCCGCGGUAAUACGGAGGGCGCAAGCGUUAAUCGGAAUUACUGGGCGUAAAGCGUGCGUAGGCUGUCUGAUAAGUCAGGCGUGAAAUCCCUCGGCUCAACCGGGGAACUGCGUUUGAUACUGUCGGACUCGAGUCCUGGAGAGGGUGGCGGAAUUCCUGGUGUAGGAGUGAAAUCCGUAGAUAUCAGGAGGAACACCGGUGGCGAAGGCGGCCACCUGGACAGGUACUGACGCUGAGGCACGAAAGCGUGGGGAGCAAACAGGAUUAGAUACCCUGGUAGUCCACGCGGUAAACGAUGGAUGCUAGGUGUCGGGGAGCGAUCUUCGGCGCCGCAGCUAACGCAUUAAGCAUCCCGCCUGGGGAGUACGGUCGCAAGGCUGAA